AAAACCCCUCUACUUAGUGCUUCGCAAUGCCCGAAAGGGUGGCGAUGCGACGCCGCGUGAGCGAAGAAGGCCCUAGGGUUGUAAAGCUCUGUCAGGGGUUAAGAAAUGUAAAUAGGUUAAUACCCUGUUUACUUGACAAAGGCCCCAAAGGAAGCCACGGCUAACUCUGUGCCAGCAGCCGCGGUAAUACAGAGGUGGCAAGCGUUGUUCGGUAUUAUUGGGCGUAAAGAGCACGUAGGUGGUUUUGUAAGUCAGAUGUGAAAGCCUUCUGUUCAAAGGAAGAACGGCAUCUGAAACUGCAGAUCUUGAGUGUAGGAGGGGAGAGUGGAACUUCUGGUGGAGCGGUGAAAUGCGUAGAUAUCAGAAGGAACGUCGGCGGCGAAAGCGACUCUCUGGCCUAUUACUGACACUGAGUGUGCGAAAGUUAGGGGAGCAAACGGGAUUAGAUACCCCGGUAGUCCUAACCGUAAACGAUGGGCACUAAGUAGAGGGGUUUUA
rnacentral:rRNA from 1 species